AAUAUUUGCGUGAUGAUUAGUGAUUUACCUUGGGACACCUAUGAAAAGCCUGUGAUUAGUGUAAAUUUGUUUUACUGAAAUUU